AGAUGGGGUCUCGUUGUGCUGCCCAGGUUGCUCUUAAACUACUGAUCUCAAGCAAUCCUCCCACCUCUGGCUCUCAAGUAGCUGGGAUUACAGGACUCCAGAGUCAAAAGGGCUCCAUAGCUUCGGGGGAGAGAUCCCAGAAUCCUGACAUGCCAGCAAAGGGCAAGGCAUUUAAUGGUUGAAAAGUUGAUAUUUUCCAAGAUAAUUUAAAAAUUAUUGGUUUUUCUCUGUUAAAAAAAAAAAAAAAUCAUUCAGGUGUGGUGGCUCAUGCCUGUAAUCCCAGCACUUUGGAAGACCAAGGCAGGAGGAUUCCUUGAGCCUAGGAAUUCAAGACCAGCCUGAACAGCAUGCAAUGGUCAUGGCUCGUGGUCACCAGCAAUGCUGGCAAAUGCCUUCGUACAGCAUGACACCGUACUUACCUUCUGCUGUGUUGAUUGCUCUGAAGGUACUGCUGGUGAAUGUUUGCAAGUCUCCAUAGUCUUGUGAUUUCCAUCUUUCUACACUUCAGAUCCCUGGAAGAUACCUUCUGACUCAGGAAAUCCAGAUGCAGAAGAAGUUGGGAGUGUCUUCUGAGAAAAAGAAAAGUGGGGAGAUUUCAAGAUAAUAUCCAUCCUAAACUGAGAAAGUGUGCUCCCUUCUCUCAUGGGGCCCAGAGAAUAUGGCAGUUAGAUUUCAAACUUUAGUCCAUUCAGACUGCUACAAAAGGAUCUCAUCCAUUGUGUGGCUUAAGCAACAAACAUUUAUUUUUCACAAUUCUCAAGCCUGGAAGUCCAAAAUCAAGCUGCCAGCAUGGCUCUCCUCCAAGUUCCAGACUCUUAACUCUAUGCUGAGUCCUGGCAAGGGGGAAAGGGGGAGGGAGCUUUAAAUAACUGUGAGGUGUUUUUUGUUUUUGUAAGAGCACUAAUUCCAUAUAUGAGAGGUGAAUAUGUGUCAUAGGAUUUGUAUUCAUAUGACACAUAUUCACCUUCCAAAUGUCCUAUCUCCUAAUACCAUCAAAUUGGGUGUUGGGAUUUAAACAUACAAAUUGUGGGGGACACAAAUAUUGAGUCUAUAGCAUUCCAUCCUGACCCCUCAAAAUUUAUGUUCUUCUCACAUACAAAAUGCAUUCUUUACAUCCAAGCAGCCUCAAAAGUAUAAACUGUUUCCAGCAGCAACUCUAGAGUCUAAAUAUCAAAAUCUCUGAAUAUCCUCUAAAUCAGGUGAUAUUUGAGACUAAAUACAUUUCAACCUGAGGAAAAUUGCUCUCCAACUGAGAUCCUGUGGAACCAAACAAGUUAUAUCCUUCCAAAAUACAAUAAUGGGUUAGGAAUAAGAUAGAUACUUCUAUUGCAAAAGGGAGAAACAGGAAAGAAGAAAGGGAUAAAAUAUUUCAAAUAAGUUCAAAUUGAAAAGCAUUCUCCAUGAGUAACACUUUUUGGUUUGAGGCUCUGCCUUUCAGGUCCACUGGGGAAGGUCCCAUCCCAUAGCUUUGGGUCAAGACCAUCUGGCUUGUUGAAUGCAAUGCAAUGGUCCCCCUUCUGAAACUGAGGAAGUAUCCCUGAUAAUCUCUGAAUCAACUUUGGGGUUAUUCUUCCCCUGUAAUGAAAAAUAGCACAUAUUCACAGUCAAAUAGCUCCAUAUCUUAUUCUAUAAAAUCCAUGAAAU
ensembl:lncRNA LINC02174 long intergenic non-protein coding RNA 2174